rnacentral:rRNA from 1 species
UACGAAGGGGGCUAGCGUUGCUCGGAAUCACUGGGCGUAAAGGGUGCGUAGGCGGGUUUUAAGUCAGGGGUGAAAUCCUGGAGCUCAACUCCAGAACUGCCUUUGAUACUGGAAGAUCUUGAGUCCGGGAGAGGUGAGUGGAACUGCGAGUGUAGAGGUGAAAUUCGUAGAUAUUCGCAAGAACACCAGUGGCGAAGGCGGCUCACUGGCCCGGUACUGACGCUGAGGUGCGAAAGCGUGGGGAGCAAACAGG